GAAAAAAAAACCCAAAUUCUACACUGAACGGGAAUCGGUAACAAUGCAAAACCCAAUUCUACACGAAAUCGGUGUGUGAACAUUUUGCCCUCUAUAAAACCCACAGGCUGUUCAGUGUUAUUUCAAUCUUCGACACCAUUGUAAGCAGUUCAGUGCUGUUUCAAUUUCAGUGUUCGUUGAGCUUCGACAGCCAUUGUAAUUUCUCCAAUGGAGUCGAAAUCAGAACCGACUCGAGUGAAGCUCCCAAGACCUGUAAGGGUGAAUGUGAAAACUCCGGCACCAGUUCAAAUCACCGUUGAGCAAAUCCUCCGGGAGGCAAAGGAAUGUCAGGAAGCAGAAAUCCGAGCACCGCCUAAGCAAAAAAUCACCGACGAAACUGAACUGGCCGACUACCGCAAUCACAAGCGGAAGGAGUUCGAAGGUCAAAGGAACAAGAGCUCAUUGGUGAAAUAUGCAAAAUGGGAAGAGAACCAAAAGGAUUUCAAACGUGCCCGUUCAAUUUGGGAACGUGUGCUUAAAGUGGAAUACCGUGACCACUCCAUGUGGUUGAAGUAUGCUGAAAUGGAGAUGAAGAACGAGUUCAUAAACCAUGCCCGCAAUGUGUGGGAUCGUGCCGUAACCCUUUUACCUAGGGUUGAUCAAUUGUGGUACAAGUACAUCCACAUGGAAGAGAUGCUUGGGAAUGUUGCCACCGUAAGGAAGAUUUUUGAAAAGUGGAUGGCAUGGAAGCCUGAUGAACAAGGUUGGUUGUCGUACAUUAAAUUUGAAUUAAGGUAUAAUGAGGUAGAAAGAGCACGUGCUAUUUUCGAGAGAUUCGUGGAUUGUCAUCCUAGGGUUAGUCCAUGGAUUUCGUAUGCUAACUUUGAGAUCAAGAAUGGGGAGGCAGUUCAGGCUAGGAACUGUUAUGAGAGGGCUGUGGAUAAGUUGGUGGAUGAUGACGAGGCUGAGAAACUGUUUGUGGCAUUUGCAGAGUUUGAGGACAAGUGUAAGGAGAUAGAGAGGGCAAGGUGUAUAUACCAGUUUGCACUUGAUCAUAUACCCAAAGGGAGAGCUGAGGAUUUGUACAACAAGUUUGUUGUUUUCGAGAAGCAGUAUGGUGAUAGUGAAGGCAUUGAAGAUGCUAUAGUUGGAAAAAGGAGGUUUCAGUAUGAAGAUGAGGUAAGGAAGAACCCGAUGAACUAUGACGCUUGGUUUGAUUAUAUUCGGUUGGAAGAAAGUGUAGGGAAUAAAGAGAGGAUUAGAGAGGUUUACGAGAGAGCCAUUGCUAAUGUUCCUCCUUCUGAAGUGAAACAUUAUUGGCAGCGAUACAUUUACUUAUGGAUUUAUUAUGCAUUAUACGAAGAGAUUGACACACAGGACAUGGAAAGGACCAGAGAAAUCUACAGGGAGUGUCUCAAGUUGAUUCCUCAUCAGAAAUUUUCAUUCACGAAGAUCUGGUUGUUGGCUGCCCAGUUUGAAAUCCGGCAGUUAAGACUCAGGGAGGCACGGUUAUUACUUGGAGAAGCAAUUGGAAGGGCUCCUAAGGACAAGAUAUUUAAGAAGUAUAUUGAAAUGGAACUCCAACUCGGUAACAUAGACCGUUGUCGGAAGCUUUACGAGAAGUACUUAGAGUGGUCACCAGAAAAUUGCAAUGCUUGGAGCAAAUUCAUUGAGCUAGAGAGCUCUUUGCAUGAGACUGAUCGAGCCAGGGCUAUCAUUGAGCUUGCAGUUAACCGAGCUGCAUCACUGGAUUAUGCUGCCUGAGCUAUUAGGCUAGGUGAAGUUGACGGUUAGAAGACGGGGAUAGUGAUGAGAAUGUUGGGUCAGCCUAUAGCACCAAGGCUGGAUAUUUUGAACAAGCCUAUCCUGGAUUAACUGCUUUUUGUGAGUAUCUGAUCGAUGGUGAUCUAGAACACAAGCUCAGGAAAUCCGUGUGAGAAACAUGCCCAAAAGAUCAAGAAAAAUGUAAAAGAUUAGCUAUUAAAUACUGUCAACAUGCUAUCUCAUGUCUACUAUAGCAUGGAGCACCGUUUAUUUUGUAUGUCUAAGUUCUAGCUUACGACAUCUUGCUUGAUGUUCUUGCUUAUACAUAAUGUACUUCCAUCUUCUGAAUCACUCAGUCCUUAUUCCCAGUUACUCUGUUGCACAAUAUGGAGGUUUUAUGUUCUUCAUUUGGUGGGAAUACCUAGCAGGUAUGAAUGAACUUGCUCUUCUGAUUCAUUUUUCUGUGGAUUUCUAGCGUGGAAUGACCGAUUGAUGUUCUUUGCCCAAUCACCAUUUACCGUCCAAUUCCUUCCUCCAUAUUCCUUUAUCAUUCUCCCCAGGUUCCUUCAACAAAAAUAUAAGAUCCUAAAGCUACUUACAUAAUUAGUUGAUCUCAGAGCUGAUAUAUGUGAGUUACAUAUCGUCAGUUUUUCUGAGCGUCAAUGUAAUGUGAAUUGACUAUUAGUUGCAUUGCGCUUAAGUUUGCGAGUUUUAUAUAUUUUUCAUUUAGUGGGAAUACCUAGCAGGUAGGAAUAAACAGGCCCUUCCGAUUCCAUUUUGUGGACUUUUUGUGUUGAUACCUGAUUUACUACAAAUAUUGAAUGUAGAGUUAAGCAGUUGAUGUUAUCCUGCCUCCCAACCAGGGGUAGUUUGUUAUUCGUCUUCCUAGUGUGCUGUGUUUGGGUUGUUUGGUGUGCUUAUAUGGUUGUGCCUUUUGUACUUUGGAGAAAAUGAGUGAAAUCUUUUCGACUAUUCCCUGGAGUUUCCUCCAGUUCCUUGAACAACUAUAAAGAUCCCAAAACUACUUACAUAAUUAGUUGAUUGGAGUGAAUUCUUAUCUUCCAAAAAAGAAGGUUGAUCUGAGCACUUAUUUAAUGUGUAUAACAUAUUGUCAGCUGUUUUCAGUACCGAUAUGAUGUGUUUUGACUAUUCGUUGCAUUCUGCUAAGUCCCCGGUUUAAACCAUGAUUUUUAUUUGAUAUAAUUCGGCAUGUGGAGUCAUUCUGUGCUAGUUAGCAUACCACUCCACUUUCUCUGGAUGUUUGAGAAGUGCGUUCAUUUUUCCCAAUAAAAAGUCAGAUUGGUAAAUAGUGAAGAGUUUGUUGAGUAUCUUUUGAUAAGGAAGAGUUUGUUCGCGUAUUAAUUUGUGAAUUCAGAUUAACUGGAGCAUCCUCUAUAUGCUACCUCUGGCAUUAUUUUGUUAAUCUCAAUCCAUUGUCUAUAAUCUGCCUCAAUUAUACUUGUGGUUCCUCAAUUAAAAUUAAUUGUAUGCAAAAAGUAUUAGUUUUUUGGUGUAAACGACGUUUAGUUGAGAGUGCGGAUCAGUAUUUAUAGUUUUUGGAUUCGUUAGGAAACUUGUAACUGAAGUUCUGCUGUUGUAGGUGUUUGGCUGCUCUUGAUGUAACCUUUUAUACCGUCUUGGUACCUUUAUUAAUAAAAUGUUUACCUUAUCAGCCAAAAAAAAAAAAAAAA